GGCGGGGGCCUGUGGAAACAAGGCGCUUUGCACGUUUUAGGUGUUGUGCCCGGGAGCCCGGGCUCAAAGCUAAGGUCACGGCCCUUCCCCCCCUCCGCGGUGGGGAGGCAGCUGGCGGGGAGCUGAGAGAAGCCAGCCAGGUUAUGUGGAAUGACAGCCCCGCAUUCCGAGCUAAGCACCUCAGGAAAACAGCUGCUUGCUGCUCGCUGUCGCCUCUAUGAUGCGGAGAGCUCAUUCAUACCCUGCUUCCAGGUAGAAUUGUUAAUGAUACUGGAGAAAAGGCAGAAGUGGUUAUCUUUCAAGUAUCUUUUACAAGAACCUUUCCAAACACGCUCCCUGCUACAGUGUAGACAUACUCUAAGAGGCACAGCACAGAACUCACAGACUAAGG